GGAUCCAGACUUUGAUCCUGGCUCAGGAUGAACGCUAGCGGCAGGCUUAACACAUGCAAGUCGAGGGGCAGCGCGGGGCAGCAAUGUUCUGGCGGCGACCGGCGGAAGGGUGCGUAACGCGUGAGCGACAUGCCCGUUGCCCGGGGACAACCGGUGGAAACGCCGACUAAUCCCCGAUGGGACGGAGGCCCUCAUGGGUCUCCGUUGAAAGUUACGGCGGCGACGGAUUGGCUCGCGUCCGAUUAGCUUGUUGGCGGGGUAACGGCCCACCAAGGCUACGAUCGGUAGGGGUUCUGAGAGGAAGGUCCCCCACAAUGGAACUGAGACACGGUCCAUACUCCUACGGGAGGCAGCAGUGAGGAAUAUUGGUCAAUGGGCGGAAGCCUGAACCAGCCAUGCCGCGUGCGGGAAGGAGGCCCUAUGGGCUGUGAACCGCUUUUGCCUGGGGGCAAUAAGGGCGUCGUGCACGUCCGAUGAGAGUACCAGGCGAAUAAGCAUCGGCUAACUCCGUGCCAGCAGCCGCGGUAAUACGGGGGAUGCGAGCGUUAUCCGGAUUCAUUGGGUUUAAAGGGUGCGUAGGCUGUGCGUCAAGUCAGGGGUGAAAUUCCGGGGCUCAACUCCGGGGCUGCCCUUGAUACUGUCGCGCUGGAGUGCGGAUGCCGCCGGAGGAAUGAGUGGUGUAGCGGUGAAAUGCUUAGAUAUCACUCAGAACACCGAUUGCGAAGGCAUCUGGCGAAUCCGUAACUGACGCUGAGGCACGAAAGCGUGGGGAUAGAACAGGAUUAGAUACCCUGGUAUUCCACGCCGUAAACGAUGAUGGCUAACCGCCGGCGACACACUGUCGGUGGCCAAGCGAAAGCGAUAAGCCAUCCACCUGGGGAGUACGUCGGCAACGAUGCAACUCAAAGGAAUUGACGG
rnacentral:rRNA from 2 species